CAAGGGUCAUGGAUGGACUUUUUAAUCUUGCAAAUAAGCUUUUUGGAAUACGUGCUGAACCAGCCGAUGGAUUAGCUCCGGUAUGGAACAAGGAUGUCCGCUUCUACCGUGUGAAUGAUUCAUCUGGCAAUCCCAUUGCAUAUUUCUAUUUUGAUCCAUACUCACGUCCAUCUGAAAAACGUGGAGGC